rnacentral:rRNA from 1 species
UACGUAGGUAGCGAGCGUUGUUCGGAGUUACUGGGCGUAAAGGGUGUGUAGGCGGUUGUUUAAGUUUGGUGUGAAAUCUCCCGGCUCAACUGGGAGGGUGCGCCGAAUACUGAAUGACUAGAGUGCGGGAGAGGAAAGUGGAAUUCCUGGUGUAGCGGUGAAAUGCGUAGAUAUCGGGAGGAACACCAGUGGCGAAGGCGGCUUUCUGGGCCUUACCUGACGCUGAGACGCGAAAGCGUGGGGAGCGAACCGG